AUUGAACGCUGGCGGCAUGCCUUACACAUGCAAGUCGAACGGCAGCGGACCUUCGGGUGCCGGCGAGUGGCGAACGGGUGAGUAAUAUAUCGGAACGUACCUUUCAGUGGGGAGUAACGUAGCGAAGAUACGCUAAUACCGCAUAUUCUGUGAGCAGGAAAGACAGGGGAGUCGCAAGAACCUUGCGCUGAUUGAGCGGCCGAUAUCAGAUUAGCUAGUUGGUGAGGUAAAGGGACUCACCAAGGCGGACGAUCUGUAGCGGGUCGUGAGAGGAUGAUCCGCCACACUGGAACUGAGACACGGUCCA
rnacentral:rRNA from 1 species